CCCUUAGAUGUUCUGGGCUGCACGCGCGCUACACUGAUGCACUCAACGAGUUUACGACCUUGCCCGAUAGGGUUGGGUAAUCUUUUUAAAAUGCAUCGUGAUGGGGAUAGAUUAUUGCAAUUACUAAUCUUCAACGAGGAAUUCCUAGUAAGCGCGAGUCAUCAGCUCGUGCUGAUUACGUCCCUGCCCUUUGUACACACCGCCCGUCGCUCCUACCGAUUGAGUGCUCAGGUGAAUAAUUCGGACUGCAGCAAUGUUUGGAUCCCGAACGUUGCAGCGGAAAGUUUAGUGAACCUUAUCACUUAGAGGAAGGAGAAGUCGUAACA
rnacentral:rRNA from 1 species